CGCGGCGUGGAGCAGUUGGUAGCUCGUCGGGCUCAUAACCCGAAGGUCGUAGGUUCAAGUCCUGCCGCCGCUA
rnacentral:tRNA from 2 species